AGAAAUAUUUCUUUCUGCUUACUUUUACAUAUUUAUUUUUUAUUAACAAGGAAAUAAACACUACAAAGUAAUUAAGUAGAAAACUACAAGUGUGUAUUUACUGCUAUAAGCGACAGUCGGUCUAGUUCAUUGCACAAACAAUGCUACAUAUGUGCCAGCUUGCUGUUGUUAUUGUUUUCGUUAUUAGGAAAGGAAAAUCGCACUUGAAAAGGGCGUUUCCACAUUGAGUGUCGUCCAUGUGUGUUAGCUGUAUAUGUAACUCUGCGAAAUGAGGUGUGAAAAAGGUGGCAAACAGUAGGCGUUUGCCGUCGCUGAUUGUAAUCAAUAAUAGCCUGCGUAUAUAUCUUAAGUAGGUGCGUGUAUGUGUAAAGGAAAUGGGGACUUGCCAAUUGUUGUGGUUUGUAGGUGAAGUAUCAGCUGCCUGGCUUGCAAAUGAGGUGUGAAAAUCGUACAAAAUAUAUAAAGAUUUGAAAUGAAAAGAAAAAAGUCGGCUGAAGAAAAUUAUUGAGG